rnacentral:rRNA from 1 species
UCCGUAGGUGGCAAGCGUUGUCCGGAAUUAUUGGGCGUAAAGCGCGCGCAGGCGGUCCUUUAAGUCUGAUGUGAAAGCCCACGGCUCAACCGUGGAGGGUCAUUGGAAACUGGGGGACUUGAGUGCAGAAGAGAAGAGUGGAAUUCCACGUGUAGCGGUGAAAUGCGUAGAGAUGUGGAGGAACACCAGUGGCGAAGGCGACUCUUUGGUCUGUAACUGACGCUGAGGCGCGAAAGCGUGGGGAGCAAACAGG